GUUUCGCCGAAAGUUAAGCAACAAUUAUGUUUGGUGGUUGUGGCGUGAAAAUCAACCACCAACCACUGACUCAGUAAGAAUCUCAACACUCUGAUCUUUAUGUAUCCAGAAUCAGGUGGCUGAAAGAUAAACGCGUGAAGUUCACGCGCCGGUAAACUUAUUCGAACCAAGAUUCUCUAGUGAGCGCAUGAGGGUGCGUCGAGAUUCAAACUAUGACCUGCUUUACUUUAACGGCAUUACUUUGCUGUCUCCGACACGUAUCUGGUGGUUCAUGCUCAAAAGGACUAUGGGUUGAGAGAGUUUAGUUUGAGCCGUUUCUUUUUGUGUUUGCUAUCUGCCAGGUUCCUUCAAUAUUAUUUCUUUGGUCAAACUAUCUAUCUGAUACUCUAUUUGUUGAGUAGUUUUUUGGAUUUCUAAUAUAAAUUCAAGAAUUGCUUCAGUAGCAUAUAUUGCUAAGGGGUUAGUUUACUUUUUCUUUCGUAAAUUCAAAUCUUCCAUGUUUUUGCUUGAGCAAAUCUAGUUAAAUCCCUUUGAUUCAUUUUUGUUACUGUUUCUUAGAUUAUUGAGUGUUUUUUGGAAUUUUUCUUUGUGGGUCAGACUAUUAUUCUCUAAUUUGUUGAUAACUAGUCUUACUCCAAUUAAGCUUUGUUGGAAUUAAGAAAAACUAUUACUAUAUCCUAUUUUCUCUAAAAGUUGGUUGAGACUUUGGCUCUUUAGCUCUCUUUUGUCCCUGUUGAGGAGUUAAUUUACUACAAAGCUUUGUCAGUUUCUUUGAUCGUGAGUUUUAGUUAAAAAAAAAAA
rnacentral:lncRNA from 1 species